AAACUAACAAGGAUUCCCCUAGUAACGGCGAGUGAACCGGGAAGAGCUCAAAUUUGAAAUCUGGCGUCCUCAGGGCGUCCGAGUUGUAAUCUAUAGAGGCGUUUUCCGUGCCGGACCGUGUCCAAGUUCCUUGGAACAGGAUAUCAAAGAGGGUGACAAUCCCGUACUUGACACGACGACCGGUGCUCUGUGAUACGUCUUCUACGAGUCGAGUUGUUUGGGAAUGCAGCUCAAAAUGGGUGGUGAGUUCCAUCUAAAGCUAAAUAUUGGCGAGAGACCGAUAGCGAACAAGUACCGUGAGGGAAAGAUGAAAAGCACUUUGGAAAGAGAGUUAAACAGUACGUGAAAUUGUUGAAAGGGAAACGAUUGAAGUCAGUCGUGACCGAGAGGCUCAGCCGGUUCUGCCGGUGUAUUCCCCUCGGUCGGGUCAACAUCAGUUUUGUCCGGUGGAUAAGGGCGGUAGGAAGGUGGCACCCUCGGGUGUGUUAUAGCCUGCCGUCGCAUACAUCGGGUGAGACUGAGGAACGCAGCUCGCCUUUAUGGCCGGGGUUCGCCCACGUCCGAGCUUAGAUGUUGACAUAAUGGCUUGUAAACGAC
rnacentral:rRNA from 1 species